rnacentral:rRNA from 2 species
GACGAACGCUGGCGGCGUGCCUAAUACAUGCAAGUCGAACGAACUCUGGUAUUGAUUGGUGCUUGCAUCAUGAUUUACAUUUGAGUGAGUGGCGAACUGGUGAGUAACACGUGGGAAACCUGCCCAGAAGCGGGGGAUAACACCUGGAAACAGAUGCUAAUACCGCAUAACAACUUGGACCGCAUGGUCCGAGUUUGAAAGAUGGCUUCGGCUAUCACUUUUGGAUGGUCCCGCGGCGUAUUAGCUAGAUGGUGGGGUAACGGCUCACCAUGGCAAUGAUACGUAGCCGACCUGAGAGGGUAAUCGGCCACAUUGGGACUGAGACACGGCCCAAACUCCUACGGGAGGCAGCAGUAGGGAAUCUUCCACAAUGGACGAAAGUCUGAUGGAGCAACGCCGCGUGAGUGAAGAAGGGUUUCGGCUCGUAAAACUCUGUUGUUAAAGAAGAACAUAUCUGAGAGUAACUGUUCAGGUAUUGACGGUAUUUAACCAGAAAGCCACGGCUAACUACGUGCCAGCAGCCGCGGUAAUGCGUAGGUGGCAAGCGUUGUCCGGAUUUAUUGGGCGUAAAGCGAGCGCAGGCGGUUUUUUAAGUCUGAUGUGAAAGCCUUCGGCUUAACCGAAGAAGUGCAUCGGAAACUGGGAAACUUGAGUGCAGAAGAGGACAGUGGAACUCCAUGUGUAGCGGUGAAAUGCGUAGAUAUAUGGAAGAACACCAGUGGCGAAGGCGGCUGUCUGGUCUGUAACUGACGCUGAGGCUCGAAAGUAUGGGUAGCAAACAGGAUUAGAUACCCUGGUAGUCCAUACCGUAAACGAUGAAUGCUAAGUGUUGGAGGGUUUCCGCCCUUCAGUGCUGCAGCUAACGCAUUAAGCAUUCCGCCUGGGGAGUACGGCCGCAAGGCUGAAACUCAAAGGAAUUGACGGGGGCCCGCACAAGCGGUGGAGCAUGUGGUUUAACUCGAAGCUACGCGAAGAACCUUACCAGGUCUUGACAUACUAUGCAAAUCUAAGAGAUUAGACGUUCCCUUCGGGGACAUGGAUACAGGUGGUGCAUGGUUGUCGUCAGCUCGUGUCGUGAGAUGUUGGGUUAAGUCCCGCAACGAGCGCAACCCUUAUUAUCAGUUGCCAGCAUUAAGUUGGGCACUCUGGUGAGACUGCCGGUGACAAACCGGAGGAAGGUGGGGAUGACGUCAAAUCAUCAUGCCCCUUAUGACCUGGGCUACACACGUGCUACAAUGGAUGGUACAACGAGUUGCGAACUCGCGAGAGUAAGCUAAUCUCUUAAAGCCAUUCUCAGUUCGGAUUGUAGGCUGCAACUCGCCUACAUGAAGUCGGAAUCGCUAGUAAUCGCGGAUCAGCAUGCCGCGGUGAAUACGUUCCCGGGCCUUGUACACACCGCCCGUCACACCAUGAGAGUUUGUAACACCCAAAGUCGGUGGGGUAACCUUUUAGGGACCAGCCGCCUAAGGUGGGACAGAUGAUUAGGGUG